rnacentral:lncRNA from 1 species
CUCGCUGUGUGCUGCCCCGGCCCCGUGGGCGUGUAGACACCCGUAAUAAGAAGUAAGGGAGCAGUGCCCCAGGCGGGUGGACAGUUGUUGGUCGGCCGAGCCUUGGGGACAGCAGGGUGGGGCAGACAGCGGCGAGUGCUGUCAACGUGUUUUGGCAGGAAGACGGAAGAAAACGCCAGGAAGAAAGAAAGCCCGUCCAGAUUGUCUACAAAGAGCAGGAGCUCAGGGCGAGGUUGAAGAAACGCCCAGGUCGUGUGAAGAAGAGGAAAGCACAGAAGAUAAAGAAUGAAGCCACGGCUCGCUCACAGCAUCGCACGGACGCUGGGCCUCUGCAGGCCGGCCUGUGGAGCCUGCACCCUCCGUACAAGCCUGCAGACCUGCCUCUGGGGCUGAUGCGAGCCGACAUCGGGCAGCCUCCCUCUCCCUGUUUGGAGACCCCUAUGAAUUGGACCCUUGACAGGUGGGUGCAGAGGGCUGGGCUCUCUCCCUCAGGCUAGUGGACACGCCACUCCGCUGGGGCCUGGCUCACUGGGUUUGUGUUUGUGAAGUUCCUUGCUCUGAGCAGCUCUCAGACCCCAUUAGGUGGUGACUGAAAGAGCCCGUGCCCCUGGCGUGUCUGCCCCCAUCCCUCCCGACUCGGAGGCCGGGCGGCUGCUGACACGAGGGCCCCACGGGACAGGCCCCCACCUGUUGGGCUCUUGUGCCCAGGGUAGCAGGCACCUGGUAUGAGGCGGUGGAAUGAGGCCUGGGCGGGGUCCUUGUGUGAUGAGUACGCGCCCCUCAGGCUCUGGGGCGGCCAGCCCUCUGCCCCGUGUUUGGUGCCGUGGGUUCCUAGUUGAACUGGCAUUUCGGAGGCCAUGGAUCUCAGCCCUGUCGCUUUCUCUCUGACCCUGGGUUCAGAAUGAAGCCACGGCUCGCUCACAGCAUCGCACGGACGCUGGGCCUCUGCAGGCCGGCCUGUGGAGCCUGCACCCUCCGUACAAGCCUGCAGACCUGCCUCUGGGGCUGAUGCGAGCCGACAUCGGGCAGCCUCCCUCUCCCUGUUUGGAGACCCCUAUGAAUUGGACCCUUGACAGGUGGGUGCAGAGGGCUGGGCUCUCUCCUCAGGCUAGUGGACACGCCACUCCGCUGGGGCCUGGCUCACUGGGUUUGUGUUUGUGAAGUUCCUUGCUCUGAGCAGCUCUCAGACCCCAUUAGGUGGUGACUGAAAGAGCUCCGUGCCCCUGGCGUGUCUGCCCCCAUCCCUCCCGACUCGGAGGCCGGGCGGCUGCUGACACGAGGUCCCUGCGCAGGCCCCGCUCGGCGUUGAGUCACGGGCCUGCCGAGGGCCGCCGCUGUGGAGGGUGGGAGGGAGUUCCCGGCCUGACACGCAGGCCCACCUGCCCUUUGGCCUGUGUUCCUCCCCAGCAGUGAAGAGGCGCCUGCAAGUCCUGCUUCCUCUGAGCGCCAAGAGAAGGGUUCUUUCCCGAUCAGCCCUGCGCCUCCCACCAGCCUGUAGCCAGACCCAUCUCCAUGGGGCUCUCCAGGUGCGCCCUGGGGGUAGGAUGGAUGGGGUGCAGGUGGGCCCCAGGCCCGCAAGAACAGUGGACCCCACGGCGGGUGGGCGCCUGCCACAUGGCACCCUGAGGCCUCUUGUGGCCUCUCCUGGCUCGUGGGUGAGGAAGAGCUGCAGCUAGUCCCAGGCCAGGGCACGGGCGCAGGGACAAGGAGGGGCGAGGGCAGGGCGGGCUGGGCAAGGAGCCAGCCUUCUUCCCGGCUGACAGUCCAUCAGCCCAGCCAGGCAGCAUUGCUCCUGCGCCCGCCUGUCGGUGUAGCU